rnacentral:lncRNA from 1 species
GCAGCCUCCCGAGGCAGGGUAGGUUCAAAGACUCCAGCACAGCCACGUGAUGGAAGAAGAUUUAUGAACAGAAAAAGGACUUACAGAAAAUGGACGAGAGGUGCAGAAACACCUAGAUUGCUUACAGCUCUGCGUUUGCCUUAUUUAAACAUGGUUUGAACAGCCGGCCGCCUGUGAUUGGCUGAAACUCCAUGAUUGGCACAAGAGUAGGUAGGUCACAGUCUGUUUACACGUCCAGUGAGGUUACAGUUCAUUACCUACAGAGAAACGUUUAGACUGAACUUAAAAUAUGUAAGGAGGCAGCUCUAGGCUAAACUUGAUUUAGCAAUAUAAUCUACUAAUUCUUUUUGUAAUAAAAUUAUUUAAUUUUCAGGUGAUAAGAUGAAGUAUCAGUCAUUGAGAUGUUUCAUACCCAGUAGAAUCUGGGGUGGAUAUUUGCUUUUGUGAAUGGCCUUCACAUUAGGAAGUGCAUUUAGGAAAAUCGGGUAUUGCAUUUUCAUGGUUAUUUGAGCUCAAAGAUUUUAUUCCUUUAUUGGCCAGAUCAUUUGGUACAAAGAUCAACUAGAAAGAAAGUUUCAUGUAUUGAGUUUUUGGGAAGGGCUGUUUUAAAUACUGUUAAGACGACUGAUUUAUCUUUCUUUACUUAGUAGGGGGAGGUAGGAGGGGCAUACCAGAAUUCAGAAGUGCGACCACCAUAACCACUUCACUUUUCAAUUUAUUUUUCAGUUCUAGGAUAUAUAAGCAGACAAGGAGGGUCUCUAGGAACCAUAGGAGUUUAAUCCACGUGAGCCAUCAGCCUGAUUUACAGCUUCCUGCCCUGCAGCCUGUUCUUCCCUAAACCCUGGGUGGACUAUAGUAACCUAGUUGGUUGAAACCAGCUCCUGACAGACCCUGGCAACUUAGAGAUGAACCCUGGUGAAUCUUCCUCAUGACUGUAACGUCUCCAUCCUGGAGGAACUGUAGUUCCGUUAUCAUAACAUGUAACCCAUGUGUUGCCAUGAUGACACUGUGUCUGCACCGCUGGGACCCCUCAUCUACAUGCGAUAAUGCACCCUCUCCCCUCUCCAUCACCCCAUAAAACCCUCCUGCCACUUUCCCUCAGGGAGACACUGCUUUGGAGAAUACACCCAGUGCUCCCCUUACUUGAGCCAAGUAAUAAAACUCCUAUUGAUCAAAAUCUGCAUUCUCGUGGAGAGUCGUUUGUUGCUUGACAGGUGAAUGAACGCUGUUUGUUUUUUUCGGAUAACAAAUAUGAGGUAUUAAACAAACAAACAAAAAACCCCAGACUUGAAGCUUUCCCAUAAUAACAACAAAGAGUUUGAGUAAGAAUUCCACAGCUUGCCUUCAUCUGUGGCAGACUUGCAUGAAUCAUUUUCAAAUAAAGAUAAUAACUCAGUUGGUCUUGUAGUCCAAACAAAAUGUGCUACUUCAGGAACAUUCACUUCCUAUGUGGACUUUGCUGCUGAGUCAGUGUGAGACCUUGAACAAGUCUCUGUUUGUUUCGUACCAUUCAGAUUUCCUCGUCUGUAAACAUUAAGUAUCUACAUUCACUAAAAGUAGUUCUGAAUGAAUGUUAUUUAAUGGUGCCAAUGAUGUUGGAGGAUACCUGUGCAUCUCAUGCUGUGGUUACAGCAUCAAUUGUGAUGAAUAUAGGAUACUGAGUCCCUCCUAGAAAUGACUUCAGGAACUUCACCCCCCAACUCCACAAUCUGGGAAUGGCAGACAGAUUCAGCACCAGGAGAACAUCACAUAAAGGACAAGUGUGUAUGUUUAAAAAUGGCAAGUUUCGGCCUGGCAUGGUGGCUCACGUCUAUAAUCCCAGCACUUUGGGAGGCUGAGUCUAAGUGUACAGUGCUUGUAAAGUCUGCAGUAGCAUACAGUAAUGUCCAAGGCUUUCACAUCCACUCACCACUCGCUCACUGACCCAGCCAGAGCAACUUCCAGUCCUGAAAGCUGCAUUCAUGACUCAAUCACCACAAUUGCAAUCAAAAGACGGCUUUAGUUGGAACCUGGAACGUGCUAAUCCUGUCAGGCAGCCUGUGAUUCUGGAAGUGAAGGAACAAAAAAAAAAAAAAAAAGGGAAAAUUUCACAUAAAAUUUCCAUAUGAGGAAGAAGAUGGAAACUUUUGUGUUGUGCGUUCAGUAAAACGGGCACUUUCUUAAGCAGGUGGCAAAGAAAGCCUGAGAAUCCGGCCUGACUUUUUCAUUUCAGAACCCUGCAUUUCCCACACAGAGGAGAUAGAGCACAGCCAUUGCAUGGUAGAUCCAGCUUGCUCUCACAGCCAUUGUGCAAAUAAACAUACAUGUGGCAAGGCAGUGCAGUUUUCAGUUGUUAAAAGUUCUGUCAUGCCACGAGAUGGAGCAAAGGAUAAACGCUGAUGUAAACAGGCAACAGGACUCUGACUCCACACCCCUGUCUGCACGGAGGAUGCUCAGUCCUUACACAACAAAAUGUGAGAUGCUUCCAGUCACCUCCUGGCCCUGACCCCUGAGCUCCGUGCUCACCCCACUGGAGGUCCUGGCAGUUCUCCGAGCAGGCUGUACCUGUCUGGGGUGAUCCUCUCCACUUAAUGUUAGACAUUAAGUUCCCUGUGAAAUCUGUUUUGACUCACUGAGGUUAUGAAUAUUUUAUCACAACUAUCAUCAUAUACUACCAAAUCUCCAAUUUUCUUAUCUCCAUUACUAGACUGUGAGCUCCCUGGAGGCUGGACCUGGGUUUGGCACCGAGUGGCACUCAUACAUACUUCUUGAAUAAGAGAAUGUAUGUACACAGUGGCAUGAAAUUGAUUUGAAUUUGUUGGUUUUCUUAAGUGCUAAAGUUGUAGACAGUUCAGUAAAAACUAUAAAGCGGUUACCCUGUAAACCAUGAGUACUAUUAAUUGGAACCUCCUUUCUUACAUAUCCACUUGUGUUUCUGUUAAUGUUUCCAAAAUAAAUAAAGAGCAGGCUAGAGGGAAACCUCCAGUCCUUAGAAACCACGGCACAAGAAUACAUCUGUAUUUGCACUCUGAGCAAGAGACUUCCUGUUGUUGUGUAUGUUUCAUUAAGAGAUCUGGGAAAAAUUAGCCUUGUACCAGGAUCUGAACUAUAGUUUGAAAGUGUUUAGUGGGUACCAAUGUUAAUGGCAUCAUUUUUGAAUGAUAUACAGGAUAUUUUUAAACACUUUCCUUCUGUUCCAUUUUUACACUUUCAUUAUGUUUGCCAGCAUUGGGCAGUUGGUUGCAUUUACUGAAGUUUGAAUAAAAAAAUCUAAGAUGAGUUACCAAAACACCUGCUAAACUCAUCUUGCAAGAUUGGUCAAUAAUAAUUUUUAUAUUAGAGUCUCCCCUCUCUAUAGACCUUCAAUAAUUAUUUUUAACAUCUGUUUUUCACUUCCAGUGUUAUUUUAAUUUUACUUCUAUAUAGGUUUCUAUGGAUGUCAGAUGUUCCAAAAUGAUUUUUAGUUGUCAUAAGCAAAAUUGUUGUCAUUUUGAUAAAAUUCCAACAGUGGAUUCCAAUUUGUUCAUUCAAAAAUAACAUAAAUUGCUGGCAAAAGUCAGUAGAAGAUAUUAUAUUUAUAUUUACAUGGAUUAAGCUGCCAGGAGUGCUAUCAGAAAAUUUAAAUUAACAUGGAAUGGGAUGAAAUUUCCCCAAGUCAAAGAUACCAACAGAGAGGCAAAGAGAGGUGGUCAGUGGUUAAAGACAGAUGAGCAAUUAAGGUACUUUCUUCUUAAUAAAGAUUGAGUUUGUACUUUGUCUUCUUGAAGUCUGGCAGAACAUUUCACAGUAGUGGUUGGUGUUUGUAGUUUUGGAUUUCCAUAUUUGAAAACUAUACAGUACCUCCAUCAGAUUUGUUGUAAUGGAUCCAAAUUUGGAAAGUUCUUUACAUAUUUAAAAUGAUACAUGAGUGGUUCCAGAUUCUCCAUGGGCCUGAUUUCUGGCUGACCAAGGGAAUCUCUAUUUGUGUCCUUCUCAGGGCUUAGAUGCCUGCUGUGCUCACUCCUGCCGAGAGGCACGGCCACCAUCUGCAGCUCCUGGCUGCACUUUCUAAACAGCUGCCUGGGUCAGUUCUUUUGACUAAGAUAUAGCCGAGUUGUACAGUUUACAAAUGAAUGGAAAAUCAUCACCCUACCAAGUCUUAAAUGGUUAUGACUCCAUCACUCAAGAAACUUCAGGAAUCAACAUUUGGUGAUCUGAAAUACACUGAAGCGUCCACGUAGUGAUGUUUGUGUGUUAGAUUCUGCUCCAUUUUCCAAUGUCUUCCCCCAUUUUCAGUCAACUCUUCAUCUCUGCAGUGGUGGCUUUAAAACAUGUCUACAAAUGCCUUGACCGUCUUUCCAGUGGGAGGCAGAGUCUAACUCCCUGUCCCCCGAAUGUGGGCUGGCCUUUGGGAAGAAAAGAAUAAGGUUGAAGUGAUGCUGCCCAACUUCUAAACCCAGUUCCUAAAAG